GCAGACACAUUCCAGCCAAUCAGCAGCAGACCCUCCCUCCCAGACCCUACCACCUCCUGGACAUCAUCUAUUGUGAAGCUGCAUUCUUAGUGAGCUGUCCAGGAGGUGGGAGGGUCUGGGAGGGAGGGUCUGCUGCUGAUUGGCUGGAAUGUGUCUG
rnacentral:miRNA from 1 species